AUUGAACGCUGGCGGCAUGCCUUACACAUGCAAGUCGAACGGUAACAGGUCUUCGGAUGCUGACGAGUGGCGAACGGGUGAGUAAUACAUCGGAACGUGCCUAGUAGUGGGGGAUAACUACUCGAAAGAGUGGCUAAUACCGCAUGAGAUCUACGGAUGAAAGCAGGGGAUCGCAAGACCUUGUGCUACUACGGCGGCCGAUGGCAGAUUAGGUAGUUGGUGGGAUAAAAGCUUACCAAGCCGACGAUCUGUAGCUGGUCUGAGAGGACGAUCAGCCACACUGGGACUGAGACACGGCCCAGACUCCUACGGGAGGCAGCAGUGGGGAAUUUUGGACAAUGGGCGCAAGUCUGAUCCAGCAAUGCCGCGUGCAGGAUGAAGGCCUUCGGGUUGUAAACUGCUUCUGUACGGAACGAAAAGCCCUGGGUUAAUACCCUGGGGUCAUGACGGUACCGUAAGAAUAAGCACCGGCUAACUACGUGCCAGCCGCCGCCGUAA
rnacentral:rRNA from 1 species